AACAAACGCUGGCGGCGUGCCUAAUACAUGCAAGUCGAACGGGGAAAGCUUUCGGGUGAGUACUAGUGGCGCACGGGUGAGGAACGCGUGGAUAAUCUGCCUUAGAGUGGGGGAUAACUAGUCGAAAGAUUAGCUAAUACCGCAUAAGACCACAGGAGCUGCGGCUCAAGGGGUCAAAGGUUUUUCGCUCUAAGACGAGUCCGCGUAAGAUUAGCUAGUUGGUGAGGUAACGGCUCACCAAGGCGACGAUCUUUAACUGGUAUGAGAGGAUGAUCAGUCACACUGGAACUGAGACACGGUCCAGACUCCUACGGGAGGCAGCAGUAGGGAAUAUUGCACAAUGGAGGAAACGCUGAUGCAGCGACGCCGCGUGAGUGAUGAAGGCCUUCGGGUCGUAAAGCUCUGUCGCAGGGGAAUAACACAAUGAAGGUACCCUGUAAGAAAGGAUCGGCUAACUUCGUGCCAGCCGCCGCGGUAAAAC
rnacentral:rRNA from 1 species